rnacentral:tRNA from 1 species
GGAGGGAUCGCAUAGUCUGGCCUAGUGCGCACGCCUGGAAAGCGUGUAAGUAGGGAAACCUGCUUCGAGGGUUCAAAUCCCUCUCCCUCCG